rnacentral:rRNA from 1 species
CUACGUAGGGGGCGAGCGUUGUCCGGAAUGAUUGGGCGUAAAGGGCGCGUAGGCGGCGCGGUAAGUCUGGAGUGAAAGUCCUGCUUUCAAGGUGGGAAUUGCUUUGGAUACUGUCGGGCUUGAGUGCAGGAGAGGUAAGUGGAAUUCCCAGUGUAGCGGUGUAAUGCGUAGAGAUUGGGAGGAACACCAGUGGCGAAGGCGACUUACUGGACUGUAACUGACGCUGAGGCGCGAAAGUGUGGGGAGCAAACAGGAUUAGAUACCCUGGUAGUCCACACUGUAAACGAUGAAUGCUAGGUGUAGGGGGUAUCGACCCCUUCUGUGCCGCAGUCAACACAAUAAGCAUUCCGCCUGGGGAGUACGGCCGCAAGGUUGAAACUCAAAUGAAUUGGCGGGG